GUCCAGAUCUGACUUCUCAAAGGAAGUGGUAGAGACAUCUGGGCUCUGUGUUCAUUUCCACCCAUGCUGCCACAUGGGAGUGAAAUCUUGAGAGCAUCACGUUAUCUCUCUGAGUCUCAGUUUACUUAUCUGCAAACAUGGUUAUUGAUAUCCAUGCCCUGGCUCCCUGGCAGGCUUCUUUACACUUUCUAAAGUGUAGACCAUCCACAGUAAUUCACUCUUUCAACAAAUGUGUAUUGCACAAUUACUAUGUCAUACAUCUUGUUAAAAUGUCAGUCUCCACGGUAACCCUUUGAGGUAGAUAUUAUUCAUCUUCAUUUUACAGAGGAGGCACUGAGACUCAGGAAGUUCACAUGACUUACCAGCUGUGCCUGGGGUAAGUUGCAGAGACUAGUUUUUGUUUUGUUUUGUUUGUUUGAGACAGAGUCUCACGCAGCUGCCCAGGCUGGAG
rnacentral:lncRNA from 10 species